AUAGUACUCCCUCUGUCCGGAAAUACUUGUCAUCAAAAUGGAUGAAAAUGGAUGUAUCUACAACUAAAAUACAUCUAGAUAUAUCCAUUUCAAUGACAAGUAUUUUUGGACAGAGGAAGUACUGA
rnacentral:pre_miRNA from 1 species